UCAAAAUCGAUAGCCCAACUUCGUCGUCACAUCUCUCUUCCCUCGGUAGUCUUUUGUUACUGGUACAAGACCUAGUGGUUUCGAUUUGAAAUCCUGAAACGACGGCGUUAUAUGAGCGGCUGAAGAGAAAAGUCACAGCACAAGGUAACAGUGGUUGUUUCAGACCUGGCGGCUGCCGCUGUAGUUCGACGCAUCAAGCUUUUCAAUCUGCCGUGCAAUUCAAAUGUCGUCGGCGUCGUAGUGGCAGUGGGAGACCGCCAUCGUCGGCGCCGUCGCUGGGUUUGCCACCAACACCGCGUUGCAUCCUCUGGACCGACUUGGGAAUAGGUGUUUGGGAAUCGAGAGAGGAACUCUGAAUUUGGGAAAGACAGUCAAAACAAAUGAAUAAGAACAAGACUGUAAAUUUCGUCUUGUGUUAUUCACAGUGCUUACUCUUGUAGCUCAGGUCUA